rnacentral:rRNA from 1 species
GCCUACGACCAUCUCACCCUGAAUGCGCCCGAUCUCGUCUGAUCUCGGAAGCUAAACAGAGUCAAGCCUGGUUAGUACUUGGAUGGGAGACUGCCUGGGUAUACCAGGUGUUGUAGGCU